UAAGAGGUCAGAGGGCAAACGAGAGGGAAAGUUAACAACUGGCCGACAAGAGAAAGAGAAGUGAAAGUAGUUUGCUGUGAUUUGAAACGCUGCUCUUGUUUCCAAUAUCAUUUAUUAGUCGAGAGGGAUUUGUGGCAUUUUAAUAUUCAUAAGAUUGAGCACUAAAGUAAUAUUUAUGCAUGUUUUCUUUCACUGUAGAGAUUCACCCUCCAUCAGUAUUACUGUAUUUGAGGCCUCGAUGACAAGCAGUUCACAUCUUAAAAGUUUUAUGCCUGCACACUGUGUAGGUUUGAAAUUAUAUUAAUCUAUUUGUAUAUCGUGUUAAUAUUUUAUGGGUGCGUGUUCCGGAUUAGUCGACACGUUUAUAGCGAGGCUGCAGAUUUACUGCUGCUCUAGCUGGGUUGUUUGAUGAAGAACGAGCUUGAGGCUUCGCCCGCCAGCGAGAGCCGAUGUAUUUUUCUUGAGCGUUUUCGAUUUGAUGGAGAAAAUGUAGUUUCGCUGACGCUACUUGAUAAUGCGUGUAAAAAUGAGCCUUUAAUUACUUUAUUAUAGAAAACCACUGCUCGGUUCUUUAUUAGUUUUUGUCACACAUCUAAGCUAAUAAUUUUAUCCUUCAGACGACUAAAAUGCAGCCACACGUCUUCAAGUUUCUUAUUAGUGCCAACCCCGAUUAGAGCGACUCCGCUUAAAGUAACUUCCAUCUUCUGUUGUUAGUUAUGAAUUCAAUAAUAAAGUUCAUCCAACCACCACGAUGCUGCAGCUUGCUCAGCGCGCCUCAUUAACAAGCAGCCAUUAGAUCAUUGCAACAAUCAAACAGCCGCCGUUAGCCAGCGGUAAAUAAAACCGCCGCUGCCGAAAAGAGUGCCAGAAAGCGAAGCAGGCCAAGACGCUCAACCUUAUUAGCCCUCGUUACGACGGCGAGAACAAACAUCUCCACCACCAUAAACCAGAAUCUUAAAGUAGAAAAAAUAAAAUAAAAAAAAAAAAGAGAGAGAGAGAGAGAAUCAAUAAAAGAUCAGGAGGAAUUUCAGCCUUUAAACAACCAAUUGACUAAACCCACAUCCUGUAGUCAUGGCAGCAGAGGACAAAACAAGCCAACAGGGUGACACUGCUCUGUUCAGCCCCGCCGUGCACAAAUGUGGCACCAAUCAGUGUCAUGCAGUGUUGAUCCUUAGCCAUCCGACAUGCACUCAAGUUCACACACAACCGCAGGAUUUCUCUCUCAUUCCCGAACCGAUCGCUCGGACAAACACAGACAGGAGGGGAGGAAAGAGGAGGGAGUUUGGACAGAUGUUUGGCUGCAAAUGCUUGCAGCAUUCCUUGCAAACCAAACCAAUUAGUGAGAAGUCAUGCUUUUAAGCAAGACACAUGGAGUAAUAGUGCUGCACAUUGUUCCCACUGCUUCUACUCAUGUUUCCUGCGUGUCUUAUGAUGAGGUUUUUUUUUUUUUCCUUUAACUAAGUUAAGAGGAUUUGUUGACAUUUAGAGUGUCUUGCAAAAACAAAAGAUCCUUGAAUUUCCCCACAUUUUGAAGCACAAACCAGAAAACAGACCAACACAAAGUAAUGCAUAAUUGUAAAGUGGAAGACAAAAAAAGUUACAUGAUUAAAUGAACAAGUAACAAAGUGUAACAUUUUGGAUGCAUUCAGCCCAUUUUAUUCUGUUACCAAUAAAUAAAACAAUGUUUAUUUGUUAUCCACAUGUUGGCUUACCACAAACCAGCAUGUGUGAAGUUUUUCUGGUCCGAGGGACGAAAAUGAAACUUUUCUUUGUGCAAACAACUUAGUGUUGCAGAAAACUAGGAAGAGCACAAAGUUCACAUUGUAAAACACGGUGAUGGGGGCAUCAUGGGUUUUCAGUAAGAGGGCUGGUUUAUAGGAAAACUGUGUGCAGUUACAGGUUUGAAAAUCACCUAUAAUCACCUGGUUUUACUCAUCUCAAUUCUGCGAAUUUGAGAGAAGCGUUACAUUAACUUUUUGACUCCGAAUCGCCUCUGAAACAAUACGAGAUCGGUUUGUACCCAUGUUUUCGGGAUGAUGGAAGACAGCAUUAAAAAAAAAAAGCCUCAAUGAGGUCAGUGGUGGCAGACAGAACAAAAGUUUCUUUUUUUUUUUUUUUCUUCCAACAGAGGAGCUUGUCUGGCAUUAGCCUGAACGAAAAGAUCUUUUUCCUUCAGGCACAAAACCUCCUGAUCUUCUGAUUUUGCAGACAGCAGACUCUCCUCCUUUUCUCCUUCCCUCUAUCCCCCCUGUGACUAAUUAUUUGGCUUCUUCCUAUUCCAAGUGUUACUCAGCCACAUCCUGUCUCUCCAACACCAGACGAAAUCAGUGCAAUGUGAGCGUGUC